GGUAAACACACACGCACCAGCCAUUCACCUGAUCUAAAAGAAAACGUAAUUCAUUAGACCAGGCAACCUUUUUCCAUUGCUCUGACACUCACGUCCUCAUUGAAGAUGCUUAUGACAGUGGACAUGGGUCAUCAUGGGCACCCUAAUCGGUCCAUGGCCAUUUAGCCCCAUAUGCAGUAAACUGCAAUGCACUGUGUGUUCUAUCAUGGCCAGCAUUAUGUUUUUCAGUCAUUUGAGCUACAGUAGCU